GAGCCUGGAAAGUCAAAAGCAAGCUAGUUACUGCCUAGAUACAAUGUACAGGCAUUUUCAUACAGGAUUGGAUAAAUACAGCCAUUCCAAAUGGGAGAAACUGGCCAAAAUGAAAAGGCUGCAGGCCCCAUGAAAGUCUGAAACAUUAAAAG